rnacentral:pre_miRNA from 14 species
GACCAGUUUUGAAAACAGUGUGUGAUGGGAAGGCAGUGUACUGUUAGCUGGUGUCAGUUUUUUCAACCAGCUAACAUGCAGCUGCUAUCCUACUGCACAAACUUUGAUCACUGAAGUGC